CAGCCGCCGCGGGAAAACGGAGGGUGCAAGCGUUAAUCGGAAUUACUGGGCGUAAAGCGUGCGUAGGCGGUUCGUUAAGUCUGUUGUGAAAGCCCCGGGCUCAACCUGGGAAUGGCAAUGGAUACUGGCGAGCUAGAGUGUGUCAGAGGAUGGUGGAAUUCCCGGUGUAGCGGUGAAAUGCGUAGAGAUCGGGAGGAACAUCAGUGGCGAAGGCGGCCAUCUGGGACAACACUGACGCUGAGGCACGAAAGCGUGGGGAGCAAACAGGAUUAGAUACCCCAGUAGUCCCUGUCUCUUAUAC
rnacentral:rRNA from 1 species